GCCCGGAUGGCGGAAUUGGUAGACGCAAGGGACUUAAAAUCCCUCGACCUAACAGUCGUGCCGGUUCGAUCCCGGCUCCGGGCACCA
rnacentral:tRNA from 2 species